rnacentral:rRNA from 1 species
UACGAAGGGGGGCUAGCGUUGUUCGGAUUUACUGGGCGUAAAGCGCACGUAGGCGGAUUGUUAAGUCAGGGGUGAAAUCCCGGAGCUCAACUCCGGAACUGCCUUUGAUACUGGCAAUCUUGAGGCUGGAAGAGGUUAGUGGAAUUCCCCAGUGUAGAGGUGAAAUUCGUAGAUAUUGGGAAGAACACCAGUGGCGAAGGCGGCUAACUGGUCCAGAUCUGACGCUGAGGUGCGAAAGCGUGGGGAGCAAACAGG